UUAUUCAUCAGGGCCCUGCAAUAUACAGUCGAUGCACACCGAGCGCAUCAGUCAGUUGUAGGACGGAAAAUUCAGCCAAUGGCCCAUGCGAGGGAUCAAAACUUUGGCCAGUCAAUGGGCACCACCUCUGCUCUCCAAAAGCUGGACACAUUGGCCAGUCGUUUUCUUUUUUACAAACACCGCAAGGGAAACCAUGAUAAAUCACAAGAGAGUGACGGACCGCACGUCUCAGGGUACACCGUCAUUUGGGAUGAAGCAAUGAAAGAAUUUUUAGCCAAAGCCAGAGAGGAUUUCCUGCGGAAGUGGGAGUGUCCACCACAGAGCACAACCUGCCUUGAUGACUUUGAAAGACUGAAAACUCUGGGUACCGGUUCUUUUGGAAGAGUUAUGUUAGUGAAACAUAAAGGAACAGAGCAAUACUAUGCCAUGAAGAUCCUGGACAAGCAAAAAGUGGUGAAGCUGAAACAAAUAGAACACACGUUAAAUGAGAAGAGAAUAUUGCAGGCCGUCUCUUUUCCAUUCCUUGUCAGAUUGGAAUACUCUUUCAAGGACAACUCAAACUUGUAUAUGGUUAUGGAGUAUGUCCCGGGUGGAGAGAUGUUCUCACACCUCAGACGAAUUGGAAGAUUCAGUGAGCACCAUGCCCGGUUCUAUGCAGCUCAGAUCGUGCUUACGUUUGAGUACCUCCACUCGCUAGACCUCAUCUAUAGAGACCUGAAGCCUGAGAAUCUUCUCAUUGAUCAACAUGGAUACAUCCAGGUCACAGAUUUUGGUUUUGCAAAAAGAGUAAAAGGCAGAACUUGGACAUUAUGUGGCACACCAGAAUACCUGGCUCCAGAGAUCAUCCUUAGCAAGGGCUACAAUAAAGCUGUGGAUUGGUGGGCUCUUGGUGUUCUGAUCUACGAGAUGGCCGCAGGUUACCCACCAUUUUUUGCUGACCAGCCAAUCCAGAUAUAUGAGAAAAUAGUAUCUGGAAAGGUACGAUUCCCUUCUCACUUCAGUUCCGAUCUGAAGGACUUGCUUCGAAACCUUCUUCAGGUUGAUCUCACCAAACGCUUUGGCAAUCUAAAAAACGGCGUCAAUGACAUUAAAAACCACAAGUGGUUUGCUACAACAGAUUGGAUCGCUAUUUAUGAAAGAAAGGUUGAGGCUCCCAUCAUACCAAAGUGCAGAGGCCCAGGUGACACGAGCAACUUCGAUGACUAUGAAGAAGAGGAGAUCCGAAUCUCAGACACGGAGAAGUGUGCUAAGGAGUUCAUGGAGUUUUAGUAGGACGAGAGUUCUCAAAGGGCUCUUACAUGUUGGGAUAUUUUUUUCCUUUACUUUGCACUCCUUGAAAGGUGAAAGUGAAGCUCCGACCAUCACGUGUGUUUAGACUGUUUCACGUUUCUUCAUUCCAUGAAGUUGCGAGAGAUUCAUGAGUGCCAUGAUCUCUGUGUGCAAUUUGCACCAAGCUAUAAAUGAUGUUCGGCACGAAAUGCAGUUUCUCUUUUGGGCUGCAACACAAAGCACCAGACACACUCUUAGGUUUUUUUUUUUUUUUUUGUUAGGUUUCUAGCAUCAUUUAUGAAAAAUAUUGUUUUCUUCCUGUAAUUAUUUUUUUAACUGGGAUGAAUGAAGAGGCCACUUUUACUUGUGUUGAAGGAAAUUAUUACUAUUAGUCUGUGAUAAUGCACUUUUUUAAGGAUUGGUGCUGCUUGUUCUUGCCAGCAACAUAUUACAUCAGUUACGUGCUAAAUCAGUUCUUAAGCUUUAUGCUCUUCGUGACAUAUUCACUUCCCGCCUACGUAGAGUGAAUGUGUGUAUGCUUGUGGGUGGUGUGUGUGUGCGUGCGCGCAUGUAUGUGCAAAAAGCCUACAGUAAGAGUAUUCUGAAAGAUGAUGAUUUAUUAUUAUUAUUAAAAUGCAAUUCACAAUAAUAGCCAGAGCAGACAGUAGAAGAAUACAUAUUGAAAUGUUACAUCACUUUUGUGUUUAAUUUCUUGAUGAAGUUGUUAAGAUGCUCGUUACAUUUGUACAAUUGGUGCACCAGCUAGGCCUGUCAUGAUUAUAAAAUUUUGGCUGACAAUUCGCACCCAAAUAAUUACAGUUUACUAUUUCCUUUAAUGCCACUCUUAUAAUAAAAGCAUAACAGGAGUGUAAUUAUGCCCAUAUAGUUGAGGGCAAAACUUUGCAUCUUUCUAGGUUUUAGGAUGCAAAAUGGAUUUAUUUUUAUUUUAUUCAACUCUAAUUUAUCUACAAAUAAAAUAGACUUCCUGAUAAAUUUGUAAAACGAAAUGUUGGUCUAUCCAACAAUAAGACAUCAGUCUAAAAUGCAAGGAAAAUUCUAAAUGAGACAUAAUGUGACAUCUGUUAUAACAUCUAUAUAAAGAACAAAAUUCUUACCAUUCAUUAUUUAACCUUUUCUGUUACGUGGGGUAAUGGAGGCAUGCACUAAAUGGGUUCAUUUUCUUUGGUUUCUCAUAAGGUGAUACAAACUUUUGCACUAGACUGUGCGUCAGCAUUUAUUAACCCUGAGCAUAGAAUGUUUCCUUUGCCUUCUAGACCAUUUAGAAAAUCACAAAGAGAGACAAAGGACAAAUCAAGAAAUGCGUAAACUCGAUGACUGAAAUGCACAAGAAGGUACGAUGGAAUAAUGUACUAUUCAAUAGUAAUCUUAAAUCUUUACACAUUUUAGCAAGUGUUAGUAAAUUUUACAUUAGAAACCCGAGUUAAAGAUUUAAGGAUUAAAGCCUGUGAUUGAGAAUAGUGAUAACGAAAAAUCUAAUUAAAAAUAAUCAGUUGAUUAACUCCUGCUGAAUACAAACAGUAUAUCUUUAUAGAAACGUGGUGGAAUUUAUUUUAUUCCACAGCACUGUUGAAUUCUUGAAUCUGAAGGUCGGUCGAUUUUAAUUUUCUAUAACAGCAGCUCUGAAUGUAGAUGCGACUGUAAUCGAAAUGACAGGUUUGUAUUAUUACACUCAUUCCAAUAUAUUACUAUUUCUAUUUUUGGAGUAACAACCUGUUCAAAGGACUUGGUACCACGAAGUCUGUUAAUAAACGCAUGAAUAAAAAGUGUUGUUAUUUAACAAAGCUAUAUCAUUGUUGAUAUGGUCAGGAUUUCUAUAAGGAUUUGUUUUGUUUAAGGACUCUCAGGUGUCAGCACUUUGUAACGGUCAGUAGCAGGCUUGUAGUACUCGAGUCCAGAACUCAGACUCGAGUCCAACUCGUGCCCUAAUUUUAAGGACUUGUGACUUGACUUGGACUUGAGCACUGAGGACUCGGACUCGUGCAUUAACUGCAUUCGGACUCGUAAAUUGGAGACGAGGACUCUGAUUUUUCUUUAUUUUUGUAACAUGCCAUAAUAAUUUGGCAUAAGAUACUUAUAUCUACAUUAAUUUUUAUACUAAUUUCGUGCAAGAGAAUGCACAUUCACCUGUUCGUACGUCAUGUUCAGGAACAAAGUAACAUUAAUGGCGCUAAAAUGCCUGGAGAGAACGACCCUAGGAUUGUCCGCUUUGCUUAUACAGACUGCUUGUGCAGUGGGGAGAAAAAACUGCACUGCUAUGUUCCAUAUGUAGAAGAACUAUCGAGGAGACGACGGGGACGACCUCGAACUUCAAUCGUCAUUUGGCAAAACUACACCCGGAGAAGUAAGUGAUGCGCUACGUUCAUUGCCCUGUUGAUAGCGGGGCUUGCUUGCUGACUGAUGAACUAGCUAGUGUUAACCCUCUCUCAUGUUAUUUGUCCUGUUGAUAGUGGGCGGGGCUUGUGUCGGACUCGACUCGGAUCAGUAGUGGACUCGACUUGAACACUGGGGACUAGACUAGACUCGGACUCGACACCACUGGUCACUAGGUUUUCCUCCGUGACACAGUCUUCGGGACAAAUUUAACGCAAGUCAGCAAACCUUGUUUUGCAGAUCAUCAACAAUAAAGGUACAAUGUUCUUCAGUAAUUCAAACAUUGCAAUCAUUUGACAAAUUGCGGUCGUACAAAAGAAAUAACCCCCUUUUUUUUUUUACAUUCUGUUUGAGGUAACAGUAAGCCUGCAUUGUACUGGACCACGUUACACAACUACAUCAUUGAUUUGAUUAUUUUUCUACACCAAGUGUUUUAUUCCAUAUUUAUCAUUCGUUCAAAGUCAGUAAGUUUAUUCUGGUCAGUGGAUCUGGAGCCUUUCUGGGAAUAUUCGCCGUGAAGCAGGAAUAGACCGACGCCCUUCUUUUAAUCAGCUGAAAUAAUCUCACGAUUAGGCCAUGAUGUUAAUUAUGACAGGCCUAACACCUGUAUGGGAAAGAAAGACAGACUUUUUAAUCUGUGACUCCACUUCCCCAGUUCACACUGUUACUCUCCUCUACAACCAUCUCCUCAACUGUGGACUGUGCUUUGCUUCAUGUUUUCCUCAUCACCUUGCAUUCCACAAAAUGUUUUAUUUCCUUCAUUCAUUCGAGCACAUGGCUCUCUGUUACCGUAGAUUGCGGCAUUUACAUUCAGCACACACGCAAACGUUAUUUUGCUGACCGAAUUGUGUUUAUCGUUUCAUAUGUCUCUCUCUUUAUGAAGUCUGUUUAUAAAUAUAUGUUAAAGAAAUGACUUAGACAUAUAAUGUUCUAUUCGUUGAAGCCUUCUGACUGACAUUUCUGGAAAAAGUCAUUUUGAAGUUCAUAAAUUUUAGUGGAAGGCGGUGUUUUUGUUUUAUUUGAAUGUUCAGCACUUGAUACUCCCCAAAACAAUAUUUAAAAAAAUAUAUUAUUUAGUAUUUCACUCGUCAGUGUGGGCUCUAGUAUGCAGUGUCUAUGUAUUUAGUUUGUAUGAUAAUUUGCACAGUCAUUUAGAAAGCGUGCCCUUUCCCCCCUGCAUUAUUAGCCUACAUGUAUUUUUAAGGGAUGUGUCCACCUUUUUCGCUGUAGCAUAUUUUAUGUAUUAAAUGAAUACGUCACUGUAACAAAUAAAGGAUAAUGCUUUGUA